CAAGGGACUUUUGACUUGGCUGGCCAAGCGCCCAGAACUGGGAACUCUCUCUACAGAAGCUGCAGAUAUGUCUUAGGCUGUACCUGGACCGUGGUGAUGCCAUGCUCACGACCAACCAGAACUCGGCCAUCUUGAAGCUUAGCAAUCUUGGGUUCUUCUACUUUCAUGAAAUCAGUCACAAGGUGUGAAUGAGCUGAAGCCAGCCAGUCAGCAAAACAGCCACAAGGAAAGUACUAGAAGGGGGAUAUUCAUAGAGCUUACGUGGCCCAUGCCUAUUUAGAUUGCUUUUGGCUUUACAAUUUGGCUUUAUAAUGCUAUAAAAGAGUUUAUGAACUCCUUAAA